rnacentral:rRNA from 1 species
UACAGAGGUCUCAAGCGUUGUUCGGAUUCAUUGGGCGUAAAGCGCACGUAGGCGGACUCUUAAGUCGGUGGUGAAAUCCUGGAGCUCAACUCCAGAACUGCCUUCGAUACUGAGAGUCUCGAGUCCGGGAGAGGUGAGUGGAACUGCGAGUGUAGAGGUGAAAUUCGUAGAUAUUCGCAAGAACACCAGUGGCGAAGGCGGCUCACUGGCCCGGUACUGACGCUGAGGUGCGAAAGCGUGGGGAGCAAACAGG